AGUAAAUAUAUACUGAUUCAUUUUUCUCCUCUCUCUUUCCCUUAUUAUUUUUCUCUUCUUUCUCUCAUUCCCUCUUUCUCAUUAUUGUCUUUGAUUCUGUCUCAGAUUGGUCAAAAUAUCCAGGAAUAUUAGGGGACAACUAGGAAAAUUUAAAUACUAGAUACUUAUUGGUAUGAUAAAAUGUGAUUUUUUUAGGUAUGGUCGUUGUACUAUAAUUAUGUUUUAGAAAGAGUUCUUUUUUUCAGAGAUACAUGCUUAGGUGGAUGGAUGCUUUAUGCCUUAUGGAUGCUUUGAUAUGAUGUCUUGGACUUGCUUCAGUAAAACCCAGUGAAGUUAGGGGUUGAGGGACAAGAGUGAGUAGAGAUAUGGACAAAACAAGAUUGGCUAGAUUGAGCAGUGGGUACACAGGGAUUCAUUUUACUAUCAGUCUCUACUUUUGUGUAUGCUUGAAAAUUUCCAAAAUGAAACAUUUUCUAAAAUGUCCAAGAGAAAGUUCAGUCCUCAGUAUCUUCCUCAUGUUCACCAAAGUCCCCAGUUCUCCCCAAUGACAUUCUGGGCAGCUUUUCUCCUUGCUUUUCCCAGUACUUUCUGGGUUGUUCCAGACUCUGUGCCAGUGGAGUGCCACACUGCCUCAGCCCCCACAGCUGGCGAUUGGACAAGAAUCUCUUCCUGACCCCAGAUGGCAUCACAGCUUCCUCAGUCUGAUCCUGUCAGCAUAUUUUUUCCAGGCACCUGAUUCUUGGACGUGGCAGCAAUAAAACCAACCGAGAUUAUUUGGCCGGCCCCCUCUGGAGCAGGCCGGGAUCCACCCUUGCUUCCAACGUCAUAUGUCACUUCAUACUUUCACAGUCCUUCAAAUCUCUUCUCCCGUCUGAGCUUCAUGAGCCGGGAGCACAGUGUUGUUACGCUCAAAGCCGUCAGGGUCUUCAAGGAAAUGGUCUCGGGAGAGUGGCUCAGAAGCAGACAAAGUAGACUUCUAUUAGGCUCCACCGCCAGCUCUCUUACCCGACAAAAUCCAGGUCCCACGUACUCGCCUUGGCAUAGGUGGGGAGCUGUUGGUCCUGACUGGUUGAUGGCUGACUCCCAGUUCUGUGUUUAUCCACUGAAGCCCAGUGCAGUUGUUGUGCAAGGUGUCGGCAAAGGACCAGGAGAGGGGACCAAGCACCUCUAAGCUGAAGAAUGGUGUGCAUCUCUCCCCCUUCCACCGUUUCUGUUCAGGUUUGACUCACAGAGCCUUGCAGCUUCACAGUCACUUAUAAGAGGAGGUGGUAAAGACAGCUGCUGGAGAGAACAUCUGGCAGGGCUCUGAGCAAAUGUUCUUACCAGGGGGAUAUGAAGCCUGAGACCCUGACUAGCAUCUGAGCCCUGGGAUGCUGAGCGUUCCCCAACUCGUUAAUAAAAGGAUCUGCUGGACUCAUUGUAAGAUGGGAAUGACAAAAACUGUCUGGUUUACAUACGAGAUCACAGAUCAGGAAUGUUGGAGCGUUUCACUGGCAAGGAAUGAAGAGCUCAGCUACAAGCCUCGGAAAACAGGAGCAGGCACAGAGCAACAGCUCGUUGUGUGCUUCUUGCCCUGGGGAAAGGACGUAGUGCCUGUGGACACGGGAGUCCGCUAUCAAUGCAUGGUUACACACACCAACCGCCUGCUCUGUGUGCUGGACCCAGAAACCAUAGAGCCUUUUCCCAGCCCUUACAUUAGGACAGAGUACGAGGCUCCGAACUCUCUCCAGUGCAUCCAAGUAUCCUGGGUUUCCCUCAUUUUCUGAUCACAUUAUUGACUGGAAGGGGGAGGGGAGGGAGUACAGGUAACUAAGAAGUAGAGCGAGCACAUAGGUGUAUGAACUAUUAUAAAAUAAUAAAAAUAGCAACCACUUAUUGACCCC
ensembl:lncRNA